rnacentral:rRNA from 1 species
UGCAUAUCAAUAAGCGGAGGAAAAGAAACUAACAAGGAUUCCCCUAGUAACUGCGAGUGAAGCGGGAAAAGCUCAAAUUUAAAAUCUGGCGGCCUUGCCGUCCGAGUUGUAAUCUGGAGAAGCAUUUUCUGUGUCAGACCGUGUACAAGUCUCUUGGAAUAGAGCGUCAUAGAGGGUGAGAAUCCCGUCCAUGACACGGACCGCUGAUGCUUUGUGAUAUGCUCUCGAAGAGUCGAGUUGUUUGGGAAUGCAGCUCAAAAUGGGUGGUAAAUUCCAUCUAAAGCUAAAUAUUGGCGAGAGACCGAUAGCGAACAAGUACCGUGAGGGAAAGAUGAAAAGCACUUUGGAAAGAGAGUUAAACAGUACGUGAAAUUGUUGAAAGGGAAACGCUUGAAGUCAGUCGCGUUGUUUGGGACUCAGCCUUGCUUUGCAUGGUGUACUUCCCUUUCAACGGGUCAACGUCAAUUUUGGUUGGUGGAUAAAGGCUUAGGGAAUGUGGCAUCUUCGGAUGUGUUAUAGCCCUUUGUUGCAUACACUGACUGGGAUUGAGGACUGCAGCACGCCACUAUGGCCGGGGGUUUACCUCACGUAACGUGCUUAGGAUGUUGGCAUAAUGGCUUUAAGCGACCCGUCUUGAACCACGGACCA